rnacentral:rRNA from 1 species
AUGGCCCCGGUGGCUGAGAUCUGGGGCCUCACGCCGGGCUACAAGUUCAUGCCGGCCGACGAGGAGGUGAUCGAGUUCUACCUCAUCCCACGCCUGCGCGGCCAGCCCCUACCGCUGGACGGCGUCAUCAUCGACGAGGACCCACGGAGCGCGCCACCGUGGAAGCUCUUCGAGCGCAACGGGCUGGACGAGGUAGACGUGGAACAUGCGUUCUUCUUCACGUCCGGCGAGUAUGCCAAGAGCGCCAAGCGCAAGGUCCGCGCCUGCGCUGGCGGGACGUGGGUCGGGAUGAAGGUCGGCAACAAGGGGAAGCUGCGCCUCGGCGGGGAGACCUUUGCAUGGCAGGUGUACAGGAUGAACUACCAGUGGGGCGCCGGCAGGAGGACCGGCAGCACGGGGUGGGUCAUGCUCGAGUACUCCAUCGUCGCACCGGCCGACUGUGCUUCCAUCAAGGUGUGCAAGAUCUCCUUUAGCGGCUAUGGCCAGAAGCGGCAACGGGUGCCCGACGGCUAUGUCGACGACUGUCAUAGCGGCCGCGCCGCUACUCGUCCACUCGCGGCCGCACUGCCAUCUUCGACGACUAAGUGUUAUUCAGAACCCCAAGACGAAGAUGCCGGAGGGGAAGGAGAAGCAGAUUCAACUUGGACCUAUCAAGAACCCUUCACGGCGGCGCAGCAGUUUGAUGAUCAAGAUACGCAACCAUUGAUUGAUGUUGGCUGCUUGCCGGGAUUCUCGUCAACCCCCCCUGUCCCUGUGUCGGCCGUGGAUGACGGUAUGAUGCAAUCCCAGAUGUUUAGCUAUGCCGUGGCGGAAGGAGAAGCAGAGCCAACUAGGAACUAUGAAGAACUCUACACUGAGACGACGACACAGCAGUUUGAUGGUCAAGCUAUGCAACCACCUGCUGAUGUUGGCGGCUUCCCUUCGACUUCUACCGCAUCAGGCAUGGAUGAUGGCACUAUCAUGCCACUUCAGAUCGACCAAGAAACCCACUCCCCGGAGAAGUUUGUGGACUAUGGCACGGUUCCGCCGCUGACGAACCAAGAAUUCUGCAUGCCGGAGAAGUACGUCCCCAUACCGCCGGUGAUUGACCACGAAGCCGGCCCGCCACAGGAGCAGUUCUUCGACGUUGAGGAUCCGGAACUUCAAGUGCUCCUCGAGUCGUUCAGCGACUUCGCUACUGCUGGGCAAAACGAUCCUGGCUUUGGAGAUUACUUUGCGAGUGCGGGUCAAGACUAUGAUCUUAAUCACCAUGUUUUGCCCAAGAAUAGCUUCAAUCAGCACCAAGUCUUCUAG